GUGUCAGCAGCCGCGGUAAUACGUAGGGGGCAAGCGUUGUCCGGAAUCAUUGGGCGUAAAGAGCGCGUAGGCGGCCCAGUAAGUCCGCUCUGAAAGUCAGGGGCUCAACCCCUGAAUGCGGGUGGAUACUGCUGGGCUAGAGUCCGGAAGAGGCGAGUGGAAUUCCUGGUGUAGCGGUGAAAUGCGCAGAUAUCAGGAGGAACACCGAUGGCGAAGGCAGCUCGCUGGGACGGUACUGACGCUGAGGCGCGAAAGCGUGGGGAGCAAACAGGAUUAGAUACCCUGGUAGUCCACGCCGUAAACGAUGGACACUAGGUGUGGGAGGUGUCGACUCCUCCCGUGCCGAAGCUAACGCAUUAAGUGUCCCGCCUGGGGAGUACGGCCGCAAGGCUAAA
rnacentral:rRNA from 1 species